rfam:Schistosoma mansoni strain Puerto Rico chromosome 5, complete genome
GAACUGCUGAAGAGUCCCAUAAUAGGAUGAAGCGGCCGUCCAAUGC